UUUAGUACUGGUUCGUGUCACGAACCGGUACUAAAGGUCUACCCUUUAGUACCGGUUCGUGUCAGAACCGGUACUAAAGGUUUUUCGGCUGAUGCUAACCCUUUAGUACCGGUUCGUGUCACGAACCGGUACUAAAGGUCCUUUGGAACUGGUACUAAAGGUGUGGACAUUGCAACCGGUACUAAUGCACCCUUUAGUACCGGUUCGUAAGCAAACCGGUACUAAAGGCUUAGACGGAAGGCCUUUUUUCUACUAGUGGAUACAAUGCUAAUUUUGCAUUGGAAGGCCUAAUGGUUAGUACGCAUAGCAGAUUGGUCCCUAAGCAUUAGUUGUGUAUUUUGGUUGCAUUUUCUGGAGUUCUAUUAUGCUGCUACAUCUUUAGCCAUGAGGGUCGUACCUACUUAUUAUUUCUACCAACUAAAUAAGCAUAAAGGUGUGGAUUUAAUGAAAUGUUGGGGUGCUACAAGCUUUGGCAUUACAAGUGACCUUCUUGAUAUAUCCUGGGAAUUAUUUACAUGCGAGAGAUUGCAGCCCAAAAGCUAGGGAUGUCGUGCCAUCCAGGGUCUGCAGUUAUAGUGGGAUUUAUAUGACAUCCAACUAUAAGUGAUUUGUACUCAUGCUUCCUCUCAGAUCUGAUGUUUGCAGGGAUCCUUUGUCAUUACUCUAAUGCCUUAAUAACCUUCAGGAACUUAGUAUCAGGAAGGGAGCGGAGACUGCAAGGUUCCCUUCGCCAGCGUGCGAUGAUGGGCUCCUCAUCGAACGGCGGCGCUGAGUUCUAGCACGGGGCGAACCGAGCGGGCUGGAUAACCAAGAAGAGGCAGCUCUUCUGGUUGAAGGACUCCAUCAUGCACGCGUUUGUGCAGCAUCACCCCAAUUAACCACAUGCUCAAUUGUGAGUUUGGCAUCAAGGUUUCCACCCAUUGAUAUUUUCAUCCCCAUCAAGUACAUGUUCGACUGCAAGUUCCCCAUCAAAGUGUUCUGGGGUGACUUGAGAUUUCUAGGCCUCUCGGGAUCCCUUUUCUUGUGUGAAGAUACAUACCAUAGUUAGAAGGUAAUGGGCACAAAGCAAAGAAGAAAUACAACUAUUGACAGCCUGGGCACAAUGGAUUUAUUUAAUCAAGAUUCCAUGAAACCUUGGGCAUUUAACUAAUUGAACAUGGAUGCUGAUCAAGUUUAAUUAGAAGGCGAAAGUCGUAUGUACUAUGUACCACCAAAAGAAUCUUAGUUCGAUGGAAUACCAUCAAAUUCCGCAAAUUUAAAUAAUGUUUGUUUGGACAUAACGAGCCAAGUAAUGAAGGUCAUAUGGUCUUGUUAUUUAUUUAUUUUUUAGCUAGCUUCUAUCUUCUUUUCCGGUUGACUGGUGAGUAUGUGCUUCUAAUACAUUUUUCCGUGAUAAUAGUAUAUCUAACUCAUUUUCCAUAGGAUUA